rnacentral:rRNA from 1 species
CGCUGGCGGCGUGCCUAAUACAUGCAAGUCGUACGCUUCUUUUUCCACCGGAGCUUGCUCCACCGGAAAAAGAAGAGUGGCGAACGGGUGAGUAACACGUGGGUAACCUGCCCAUCAGAAGGGGAUAACACUUGGAAACAGGUGCUAAUACCGUAUAACAAUCGAAACCGCAUGGUUUUGAUUUGAAAGGCGCUUUCGGGUGUCGCUGAUGGAUGGACCCGCGGUGCAUUAGCUAGUUGGUGAGGUAACGGCUCACCAAGGCCACGAUGCAUAGCCGACCUGAGAGGGUGAUCGGCCACAUUGGGACUGAGACACGGCCCAAACUCCUACGGGAGGCAGCAGUAGGGAAUCUUCGGCAAUGGACGAAAGUCUGACCGAGCAACGCCGCGUGAGUGAAGAAGGUUUUCGGAUCGUAAAACUCUGUUGUUAGAGAAGAAUAAGGAUGAGAGUAACUGUUCAUCCCUUGACGGUAUCUAACCAGAAAGCCACGGCUAACUACGUGCCAGCAGCCGCGGUAAUACGUAGGUGGCAAGCGUUGUCCGGAUUUAUUGGGCGUAAAGCGAGCGCAGGCGGUUUCUUAAGUCUGAUGUGAAAGCCCCCGGCUCAACCGGGGAGGGUCAUUGGAAACUGGGAGACUUGAGUGCAGAAGAGGAGAGUGGAAUUCCAUGUGUAGCGGUGAAAUGCGUAGAUAUAUGGAGGAACACCAGUGGCGAAGGCGGCUCUCUGGUCUGUAACUGACGCUGAGGCUCGAAAGCGUGGGGAGCAAACAGGAUUAGAUACCCUGGUAGUCCACGCCGUAAACGAUGAGUGCUAAGUGUUGGAGGGUUUCCGCCCUUCAGUGCUGCAGCUAACGCAUUAAGCACUCCGCCUGGGGAGUACGACCGCAAGGUUGAAACUCAAAGGAAUUGACGGGGGCCCGCACAAGCGGUGGAGCAUGUGGUUUAAUUCGAAGCAACGCGAAGAACCUUACCAGGUCUUGACAUCCUUUGACCACUCUAGAGAUAGAGCUUCCCCUUCGGGGGCAAAGUGACAGGUGGUGCAUGGUUGUCGUCAGCUCGUGUCGUGAGAUGUUGGGUUAAGUCCCGCAACGAGCGCAACCCUUAUUGUUAGUUGCCAUCAUUCAGUUGGGCACUCUAGCAAGACUGCCGGUGACAAACCGGAGGAAGGUGGGGAUGACGUCAAAUCAUCAUGCCCCUUAUGACCUGGGCUACACACGUGCUACAAUGGGAAGUACAACGAGUCGCGAAGUCGCGAGGCUAAGCUAAUCUCUUAAAGCUUCUCUCAGUUCGGAUUGUAGGCUGCAACUCGCCUACAUGAAGCCGGAAUCGCUAGUAAUCGCGGAUCAGCACGCCGCGGUGAAUACGUUCCCGGGCCUUGUACACACCGCCCGUCACACCACGAGAGUUUGUAACACCCGAAGUCGGUGAGGUAACCUUUUGGAGCCAGCCGCCUAAGGUGGGAUAGAUGA